rnacentral:tRNA from 1 species
ACCUGGGUGGCUUAGUCGGUUGAGCGUCCGACUUCAGCUCAGGUCAUGAUCUCGCAGUUUGUGGGUUCAAGCCCCACAUCGGGCU